rnacentral:rRNA from 1 species
GUUUGAUCCUGGCUCAGAGCGAACGUUAGCGGCGGGCCUAACACAUGCAAGUCGAACGCGAAAGGUCUUCGGACUGAGUAGAGUGGCGCACGGGUGAGUAACACGUAGGUAAUCUACCCUUUGGCGGGGGAUAACGUUCCGAAAGGAGCGCUAAUACCGCAUAAGACCACGGAGUCUCCGGACGCUGUGGGAAAAGGUGGCCUCUUCUUGAAAGCUACCACCGAAGGAUGAGCCUGCGUCCCAUCAGCUAGUUGGUAAGGUAAUGGCUUACCAAGGCGAAGACGGGUAGCUGGUUUGAGAGAAUGAUCAGCCACACUGGCACUGGAACACGGGCCAGACUCCUACGGGAGGCAGCAGUGAGGAAUAUUGGGCAAUGGGCGAAAGCCUGACCCAGCCACGCCGCGUGAGUGAUGAAGGCCCUCGGGUCGUAAAGCUCUGUGGAGAGGGACGAAAACCCUGGUUUCAAAUAGGCUCCAGGCUUGACGGUACCUCUUUAGCAAGCACCGGCUAACUCUGUG